AAUAAAAGGGAAUUCCUCUUAAAGCUUUUUAUCUAAACCGUUAUUAUAUAAUAUAAUUAAUAAAAAUAAUCACAGAAUACACUUUUUCUGCAAUUUGGCAACACUCCCAAUAGCAGUUAGUAAUAGAACACUGACUGACUUUCUCCAAAGUUAAGAGAUCGCCAAAACACUAACGCCAAUCCUGCCACCUAUUUCAUUUACUUUCUCGGAAUUAGAGUCACAGAUGUUACCUUAUUUAGUCAAAAUAUUAAAUAAUGUUAGCCAAAAAAAUAUAUAUACAGUGGUGGAAAAAAUAAUGGAAACAAGAAUCAAGAAUCAAGAAUACAAGAAUCGCUCCUGCAUGUAAAACAAAAUUACUAAUUAUGUACGAAGUGUGUGUGGAUAAACCGUUAGCACAUAAGCCACUCAUAAGGGUACUUUAUUGUGCUCUUCUUUUUGAGUUGAUUUCGCUCUUGUUAUUUGCGGUACAUAGCGAUAUUUGAAGUGGUCACGUGUUUGAGCUGGAAAAAAUAAUAGAAACAAGCUACGUUUUUGCGAUUUGUUUGAGUUUUUCCCCUGUUAAUUUUAAUGGGGCGCGGAGUGCACUGUUCACCUGUAGAACGAGAUAUUAUAAAAAAACUAAAAAACGAAGGAAAAAAAAUAAGGGAAAUUGCUGAACUAAUGCACUGCUCUGCAAAAAAAAAGUGUUUUCCGCGAUUCAUUAUAAAGAUACGAAGGAGAAACGGGAAAGAAAAUGAAGGCACACUCGGCUAGGAAAGUUCCACUGCUUAGUAAAAAAAAUAUCGCUAAAAGACUGUCUUUUCCAAAGCGACACCUAGACCGUAAAAACUGGAAUAAUGUUCUAUGGUCUGAUGAAACUAAAAUUAAUUUGUUCGUAUCUGAUGGCAAAAUACGUCCAGACGUCCAAAAAAUACCACAUUUGAUCCAAAGCACACAAAAAAAAA